rnacentral:rRNA from 1 species
GUGCCAGCCGCCGCGGUAAUACGUAGGGACCAAGCGUUGUUCGGAUUUACUGGGCGUAAAGGGCGCGUAGGCGGCGCGGUAAGUCACUUGUGAAAUCUCUGAGCUUAACUCAGAACGGCCAAGUGAUACUGCAGUGCUAGAGUGUGGAAGGGGCAAUCGGAAUUCUUGGUGUAGCGGUGAAAUGCGUAGAUAUCAAGAGGAACACCUGAGGUGAAGACGGGUUGCUGGGCCAACACUGACGCUGAGGCGCGAAAGCCAGGGGAGCAAACGGGAUUAGAAACCCCCGUAGUCC